CAGUUCAAGCGAACGUUCUUUUCCGUUCGGCUUUCGAAGAGUUUCAGCAAGAAUGUGCAAUGGAUGUGAUGGGGAAACUUCCCAGGUGGAGGGUGGAAUCACCUGAAAUGCAGGUGGUGAACCUGAGGCUCCAUGGCACUCUGGAAAGAACAUACUUGGAAUGAAGUAGUAUCGGAGAAGAUUAUUGGCCUAAAAAGUAGCUAGAGAUGGUUAGCCUGAGGGGAAAAUUGGAGUGCUACUUUUGAACAUACCAAAGAAGCAUGAAGACUGUAGGCUGCCUUGGUCAGAUUCCACUUGAAAAAGAAUGAGGAGGCACCUGGUCUUUCCUUAAACCAAGACUGACUGGAAGUUCUAAGGUUCAGGAGUUCUAGUUUACCUGGUUGGAUGGGUGCUUUGAAGCUUAAGGUGUCCACAAAAUGAUCUGAAACUGAAUAUUCUGGAGAAGAUCUGACUUGGAAUUCAGUAGUGAUUAUGCCUAAUAAAUGUGCUAGUUAUACCUUA